rnacentral:rRNA from 1 species
UACGAAGGGGGCUAGCGUUGCUCGGAAUCACUGGGCGUAAAGCGCACGUAGGCGGAUCGCUAAGUCAGGGGUGAAAUCCUGGAGCUCAACUCCAGAACUGCCUUUGAUACUGAAGAUCUUGAGUUCGGGAGAGGUGAGUGGAACUGCGAGUGUAGAGGUGAAAUUCGUAGAUAUUAGGAAGAACACCAGUGGCGAAGGCGGCUCACUGGCCCGGUACUGACGCUGAGGCGCGAAAGCGUGGGGAGCAAACAGG